rnacentral:rRNA from 1 species
UGAGAUGGCCUCUCGCCCUAUCCAGUGUAACUGCUGUGGUAGUGGGUUUGGUCGCUCGCAUUUAAAUUGGAAGGGUAAUGGUGGACCGCACUUCUCCCUUAGUAGGACGUUGCGACCUGUCAAAUAAUAUCCUAAGUAUAUGGCUAAUUUGUCUGUUUUUAGGCAAUACCGCGAGGUAUUUCCUUUAACAGUUUUAGCCGUUUAUAUAUACUGGAUAUAAUUGACAGUAACGAAUCAUGGUGUUGAGCCACUUGAAAUUGUAUAUUUAUAUGUAUAAUGGAAAGUGUCCUUGUGGCUGUUUGCAAGUGGGUUGGUUAAUUAGUUUUAGUCGGAUUUUGGUCCGUCUAGCUAUUCCGCCUACUGUUGGUAAACUGUUCCUUGGACAGUGCUUAUAACACCGGUCGGCAGCGAUUCAGGUUCAGGCUCUUAUCCGACCCGUCUUGAAACACGGACCAAGGAGUUUAGCGUGUACGCAAGUCAUUGGGUGUAUAAAACUCA